rnacentral:rRNA from 1 species
GCAAGUCGAACGAAAUCUUCGGAUUUAGUGGCGGACGGGUGAGUAACACGUGAGAAUCUACCUUAAAGUCGGGGAUAACAGUGGGAAACUACUGCUAAUACCGGAUAAGCCGCAAGGUGAAAGAUGAAUUGCUUUGAGAGGAGCUCGCGUCUGAUUAGCUAGCUGGUGAGGUAAAAGCUCACCAUGGCAACGAUCAGUAGCCGGUCUGAGAGGAUGAGC